UCUAACUAAAGCAUGUUACAAGUGAUCUAUGUUAUUUUUACAAACCAAGUGAGUGGUUUAAAGAAAAUGGAAAGAUGUGUCCUCUAAGAAAACCACAGUUACGUGAGUGGUAAAUGGAAACAACGAGACUCUUACCUUCUAAGCUAUGGGGUCUGUUAGCUCUGCAUCCUGUAUCUCAGUGACUCAGGGCAGGUCACUAAGCCUCCUUGAGAACCUUGUUUUCAGUAUUCAUGGAAAAGGAGGGAAGUGACCCAGGCAAGGGUGUCGACUGUGAGGCAUAUUGCUUAUGUGCAGUUCUAUUAUUCUUGGUGUUAGAAAUCUGAACUCUCAUGUUUCAGUAACCGGAAAAUCUUCAGAAAAGACAUCCCCGGCGCCAUGGUUGUCAACAUGCUCAAACACCUCGUUAUAGCAUUCUUGCCCCUUACUGGUGCAACUUCUUGCUACUUUCCUGUAGUUCAGUGACAGAAGUUGGGGGUUAUUCUUGGUACCUUCUUGCAGAAUCUGCGACAUGGAUAAAAUUCUAUCUCUGCAUCUUACAGGUAUUAAAAUCCAGUUCCCUGCGUGCAUGCUCCAGUUUAAGUGGAUGGCUGAUUCUAUCCCGUCAUCCUGAACUUUGUAGCUUCCUUUAAGAGAUGAUAAAUUAGGGAACAAAAGGAUCUUCCUUUCCGUGACAGCAGCACUUUCGGGAGGCUGAGCAUGUACCUCUGACUCAAGGCUGAGUUAUUAUAAGAAAAACAGAAAAGGAAGGAAGAAGGUUUUAAUUUCCCACUGUUGAAGACAGUUUGUCAGGAUGAGAGACAGACAGACAGAGCGUGCACAGACCUGCACUUCUCUUCGGGGAUGAAUAGGGCAAGUGUUUCAUUCAUGACGUCUUCAAAGCGUUGCCCGGAAUGCAAAAUGACAUGGUUUUUCUGGAAUACUAGUCUGUUUGAAAGGCCAAGGAAAGGUGAUACAUUUUGAAUGCACAUUUGGGUGACUUCAGGGUCUCCUUCUAUAACCAGAAUGGAGAUGUCCCUGAAAGGCUGUCAACAGAGAAAAAAAGAAUUCUGGUUAAAAUUCCAUUAUUCCAGUUUUUUUUUUGUUGUUGUUGUUUUUUUUUUUUGCCUGCGUUGUGUAAUUGAAGAUGUCUUCCAAGCAGAAACAGACCCUUGUUUCAUGUGGAAAAAAAAAUACAUAGACUAAUAGACUACAGAGAAAUAGAGGUAAAAAGAAGAUUGCUGCCACUUCCCAGUUAAGGAAUGCGUUGCUUUCACCCACCGUGGUCCCUGCUGCCUGUGACUCCAACACAAGAAUCAAUCCAUCUGUCUUUCUGCCACCACAGACAUCUCCCUAAAUUGAUCUAAUCUUGUGUCUAUUCUUAAAAUUCUUCGGAUUGCUUCUUGUUAAUAGAUAAUUGAAGUUCAGUAGUACAGUCUUUCCAUCUCCCUUUCCUUCCUGAUUGUCAAAUCACUUUGACCCAAUAAAUCUCACUUAAUUUUUUAAUUGUA